rnacentral:rRNA from 1 species
AUUGAACGCUGGCGGCAGGCCUAACACAUGCAAGUCGAGCGGAUGAGUGGAGCUUGCUCCAUGAUUCAGCGGCGGACGGGUGAGUAAUGCCUAGGAAUCUGCCUGGUAGUGGGGGACAACGUUUCGAAAGGAACGCUAAUACCGCAUACGUCCUACAGGAGAAAGCAGGGGACCUUCGGGCCUUGCGCUAUCAGAUGAGCCUAGGUCGGAUUAGCUAGUAGGUGAGGUAAUGGCUCACCUAGGCGACGACCCGUAACUGGUCUGAGAGGAUGAUCAGUCACACUGGAACUGAGACACGGUCCAGACUCCUACGGGAGGCAGCAGUGGGGAAUAUUGGACAAUGGGCGAAAGCCUGAUCCAGCCAUGCCGCGUGUGUGAAGAAGGUCUUCGGAUUGUAAAGCACUUUAAGUUGGGAGGAAGGGCAGUAAGUUAAUACCUUGCUGUUUUGACGUUACCAACAGAAUAAGCACCGGCUAACUUCGUGCCAGCCGCCGCGGUAAGAC